UUUUUUCUCCAAACCACGCUCUCACUGCCUCCUACUCCAUUUUAGGGUUUUUGAGGUAAUUAUUGAAGAUGUCACGUGUGUAUGUUGGUAAUCUGGAUCCAAGGGUUAGUGAAAGAGAAAUUGAGGACGAAUUCCGCACUUUUGGUGUCAUUCGAAGUGUCUGGGUUGCAAGAAGACCUCCGGGAUAUGCUUUUGUUGAUUUCGAUGACAAAAGAGAUGCUCAAGACGCCAUCCGCGAACUUGAUGGUAAGAAUGGUUGGAGAGUAGAAAUGUCUCAUAACUCUAGAGGAGGCGGUGGUGGAGGUGGAGGCCGUGGAGGAGGUCGUGGUCGCUCUGGUGGUUCUGAUCUGAAGUGCUACGAGUGUGGUGAACCUGGUCAUUUUGCUCGUGAGUGCCGUGGUGGUGGUGGUGGUGGUGGUGGUGGAGGUGGCGGUAGACGUCGCAGUCGUAGCCGAAGCCCCAGAUAUCGCAGGAGCCCUAGCUAUGGUCGGAGGAGCUACAGUCCCCGUGGAGGCCGCUCACCGCCUCGCCGUAGUGCUUCACCACCUCGCAGAAAUAACUAUAGCAGGUCACCACCAUAUCGUGGACGAGAGGAGUUGCCAUAUGCAAACGGAAACGGGCUUAAGGAUCGGCGUCGUAGCAGGAGCUGAUGAUUAUGGAGAUGGAAGGGUUUCAAGUGUCUGGAAUUUGUUAUCUGUGCUGACUUGUUUUCAACUUUAUCUGCAUGAAUUUGGUUAAGGUGUUAUGCUUCUUCAUUGGUUUUCUGCUUCGGCUUCGUUUUCUCUGCUCUGCUUUGCUCUGGGAUCAUCAUUUGAAUGAUUGUGGGUCCCAGCUGCUGACCAAAAUAGAGUCGUUUUUCUUAACGGCAUCAAAAAGGAAUGACGUAGCAGUCUCUUCUUGCCUUUAAAUCUUUGCUGCAAAGUGCUAUUCACUCUUUCGGUCUAUAAAGAUAUAUAGUUGUUGUGGUUACACUACUACUGCUUACAAUAAAUACUGCUUGCGGAGGCUUCUUGUGGGCCCACAUAGACCCCGGUAAGCCCUACAUGCUAUGUGUAGAGAAAAGGGUCUUCCAUGAUCAGUAUUCAUUGUGAAUAACCGCAGUCAUCUCGGUCACAUUUGAAUCCUUAGAAGAUCGGCAGGAAAGAGUUUUGCAUUUAGUUUGGUUUUAUUUAUAGUACAUGGAUUAUUGCAGUUUUAGAUGGCUCCUCAUUCUUUCUGCAGAUGUGAAUAGAUCCCUUAACAUGCUUUUUGCUUUCUCAAAUCCAUCAAAGAACCAGUUUUUAUCAUAUUCUAACACCAUUCAUAAUGAAUGUAGUGUUGGUGAAUUCAACCUGUUAUGUUUGGACUACUGCUUACGCCCCUAUUCAGCUGCUGAAUGGAUCA